AUGAGGAAGAAGCCCAGGAGAGGAGGAAGAGGAGAGAAAAGAGGUCAGGAAUGGCUCUGUCUCAGGGGAAAAAAAAUCGAAAAUCCGGGGAUCCACCACCGCCCCACAGCGACCACCUGCAGACCGGGAUUUCCAACCACUGAAUUCCUUGAGCCUCAUGAGCUGGACAAGGGUGCCACCUGCUGGCCAAAACUGCUCUUUAUUGGAACCGUUUUGAACUUGUUAGGAGGAAAAAAAUCUUCGUUUCCGACAUAAUUAGUACACACAACUCUAAGCUUUUACCUCAAAAUUGUAAAAGACAAUAAUUUAUAAAAAGCACACUCAAGGAACAGGGAAGCACCAUCCUCUGCCCCGCCCGCUGCCCCUCCUUCUCGGGCUCCCUCGGCCCCGCCCCCGGAAGUCCCGCCUCUAGCCCCGCUCUUGCAGUUUCUUCCGGAACUAGAAGCAAGGAUCGCCGAGGGACGGUCACACGGGCGAAUGUAAACUUUCUUGUUUAUACUGUAAAUCGGCCGCGCAGUCCCCCUUUAGUCCGACUUCAGGCUGUAGGAGUCACUGCGGACCUAAAAUCCCCUCGCCCGCCCUUUCCCCACCUAAAUCCAGGCGGCGCCGCUCCAGGUCGGGGAUCUUUUCCUUCGCGUCUGAAGCCGCCCUGAGGCUGGUCCCUGCCCUUGGCUUUUCUGCCUUCUGCCACGGCCUUUGGUGAUAUUUUCCCUCAUAAAACCCUUUACUCCCUCCGUCCUCCCCAUGUAACGUCCUCUUCCGCGAGGUGGACUCGCGCUCUCAGCCUUGCCGUCUCGGCCCCUGGCGGGCGGCGCCGCCGCCCCGCUCCCGUGAGGCCGGGUCCCGGGAUUCUGGGGAGCCCGGCCCUCUCCUGGGAUCCCAUCCACUCUGUCCCCGCGUCCUCCUCAGGCCGAUCCUUAUGCUCCGCGGGCCUCCCCUUGGUAGUCAGCCCUUCCCCCAUCCCGCGUUGGGGGAGGUGACCAGGGUCAGCCGUAUGACCUCCCCAGUAUUGUGACGUCCCAAAUUCCACCCCGCUGGAAAACGGCCUUUUCCAGUAGUCGGGCAUCCUAGUUAGUCGCCAUUUUUCUAAAAACGUGGGCGAGCAGGACCAGGAAAAGCAGAGAAGGAGCUACGGAGAGAGAAAUAGAAAAACAGAGGAGAUUUGUACCUUCAGAAUGUAGUAGAUUUAAACUUUGUUUCAAUUAUACAGAUGAG
rnacentral:lncRNA from 1 species